rnacentral:rRNA from 1 species
GAGUUUGAUCCUGGCUCAGGAUGAACGCUAGCGGCAGGCUUAACACAUGCAAGUCGAACGGUAAGGCCCUGCUUGCAGGGUACACGAGUGGCGCACGGGUGCGUAACGCGUAUGCAACCUACCUUUAACUGAGGAAUAGCCCCGAGAAAUUGGGAUUAAUACCUCAUAAUAUCAUAAAACAGCAUUGUUUAAUGAUUAAAACUCCGGUGGUUAAAGAUGGGCAUGCGUGACAUUAGUUUGUUGGUGAGGUAACGGCUCACCAAGACUACGAUGUCUAGGGGUUCUGAGAGGAUUAUCCCCCACACUGGUACUGAGACACGGACCAGACUCCUACGGGAGGCAGCAGUGAGGAAUAUUGGGCAAUGGACGAAAGUCUGACCCAGCCAUGCCGCGUGCAGGAUGACGGCCCUAUGGGUUGUAAACUGCUUUUAUAUGGGAAGAAACCCCUUUACGUGUAAAGGGCUGACGGUACCAUACGAAUAAGGACCGGCUAACUCCGUGCCAGCAGCCGCGGUAAUACGGAGGGUCCGAGCGUUAUCCGGAAUCAUUGGGUUUAAAGGGUCCGUAGGCGGACAGCUCAGUCAGUGGUGAAAGUUUGCAGCUCAACUGUAAAAUUGCCAUUGAUACUGGUUGUCUUGAAUUAAUGUGAAGUGGUUAGAAUAAGUAGUGUAGCGGUGAAAUGCAUAGAUAUUACUUAGAAUACCAAUUGCGAAGGCAGAUCACUAACAUUAUAUUGACGCUGAUGGACGAAAGCGUGGGGAGCGAACAGGAUUAGAUAC